rnacentral:rRNA from 1 species
UACAGAGGUCUCAAGCGUUGUUCGGAUUCAUUGGGCGUAAAGGGUACGUAGGUGGCGCUGUAAGUCGGGUGUGAAAUUUCGGAGCUUAACUCCGAAACUGCAUUCGAUACUGCGGUGCUUGAGGACUGGAGAGGAGACUGGAAUUCAUGGUGUAGCAGUGAAAUGCGUAGAGAUCGGGAGGAACACCAGAGGCGAAGGCGGCUCACUGGACAGUCACUGACACUCAACUGCGAAAGCGUGGGGAGCAAACAGG